GGCUUGCUGUGGACUGAUAUAAUGUACAUGUGUAUCAAUAGCACCUGCAGUUGCGAUAAGUCCUUCCCCUGAUAUAACUUCUGUAAUAGUGCCUACAAUCAGUCCGGGAGUUACGCCUGGUUGAAUAUGUGGAUUCCCGGCUUUUCCAACUCCUUUAAUCUUACCAUUUUUUACACCGAUAUCUGCCUUAUAAAUUCCUUUAUAAUCGAUAAUUAAUGCAUUUGUAAUAACCAAAUCGAGUACCUCUUCAUCUUUAAAACCAGAAGCCUGACCCAUACCGUCAC
rnacentral:sRNA from 1 species